rnacentral:rRNA from 1 species
GACGAACGCUGGCGGCGUGCUUAACACAUGCAAGUCGAACGAUGAAGCCGGAGCUUGCUCUGGUGAAUUAGUGGCGAACGGGUGAGUAACACGUGAGUAACCUGCCCUUGACUCUGGGAUAACUGCGGGAAACUGUAGCUAAUACCGGAUACGACCCUCGGAGGCAUCUCCUGGGGGUGGAAAGAAUUUCGGUCAAGGAUGGACUCGCGGCCUAUCAGCUAGUUGGUGAGGUAAAGGCUCACCAAGGCGACGACGGGUAGCCGGCCUGAGAGGGUGACCGGCCACACUGGGACUGGGACACGGCCCAGACUCCUACGGGAGGCAGCAGUGGGGAAUAUUGCACAAUGGGCGAAAGCCUGAUGCAGCAACGCCGCGUGAGGGAUGACGGCCUUCGGGUUGUAAACCUCUUUUAGCAGGGAAGAAGCGAAAGUGACGGUACCUGCAGAAAAAGCACCGGCUAACUACGUGCCAGCAGCCGCCGUAA